CUAACCCUAAUUUUCCCAUUCCCUUCAGCCGCCACACCCCUUUCAACUUUUCCUUCCUUCCAAAAUCAAACACAGACCCAGCACAUAGCAGCAGAAAAAAGAAAAAAAAAAGAAAGAAAUCAACAGAAAGAAAGAAAGAAAACGUUGAGGGAGAGAAGGAGAAAUGGAGUUAGAGAAGAGAAGAGCGGAGAGGGGGAUGGCCAGCGCUGGUGGGCCGAGCUGCUCACCGCCAUCGUUGCUAGCACCGACGCGGAGGAGGGAGCCAGAGGAGAAGAAGCACAACGAUGUUCUGCCGUUCCUCGCCGCGGAUGAAGCUCGCCGAUGCUGCACCACACCUCGCGAACCACUACUGCGUCGCGUCUAUCGUCGUCUUCGCUGGUUCCGGUCGCCAUCGUCGUCUCUGCCGUGAAGCCCGUCGCCGCCUUCCUUCUCGCCAUGAAGCCAGCGGCGCCAUCGUCAUCAUCACGGACUACUGCUGCGCGUGACGCCGCCGCCGCCUCUGAGUCCGUCGCCGUCAAGCAGAGCCACGGGCAGAGAGAGGAUCCCCAGGUGAGAGAGAGAGAACCUGGGAGGGCCGCGGCCAGUCCAGCCACCGCGCCCAGUCACCGGCGUCGUCUUCGUCUGAACCACCGCCAGAUCCGCCGCUGCCGAAUCUUCUGGCUGCGCCUCUGUCGUCGACGGAGCUUGCCGUUACUGGAGGUGAGUCGGCAUCGCGUUCUUGCUGUUUUGAGCCACCAGCGCCGCUGCUGCUACUCCAAAAUUCCACUUCUGUUUCUCAGGGUUUGCUAUCUCAGCCCCCUUGAAGUUACCGUCGGUUCUGUCCUUGCCGGUGAGGGUCACCGGAGCUGCUGCAAUUCCAGUCUUUUGUUCCUCUGCUAAGGUUAUUCUGUCGCGCCUUGUCUCGCUAUAAUGUUUCAUUAAUUAACUCUGUCCUACUUUACAUAAAUGUUCCUUUGUAUCCUUGCUCAGCCUUAAACCAUAGUAGAUUAUUAGAUUCACCGUUGUUGCCGUUUUGUAGCUGCCUCGCGGUGUUGUUCCAUCGUCACUGUUGCUGGAAGAAGCAGUCGAAGUGGCUGCCAUGAGUUAAAAGGAAAGGGAGUUGUUAUAAUAGGUUUAUGCGAACUCGGCUAAUCGAGAGUUGUUGUGGUAGCUAGGUAAGCGGUUUGGAGGUGAGGCUGUAGCUGCCACUGAUUGCGGGCCGAAAAGAAAGGGUUUCUUGAUGCGUUUGGUUUAUGAGUUUCGAUUAUUCGAGGCUAGUUGAAAUUGAAAAUAAGAGUGAGAGAAAAAUGAUACAUACUGAAGAAAGAGCGAAUGAGGCCGGAAGCAUACAUAUUUAUGGAUCUAGAAAGGUUGGACGCAUGUUGCGCAAGCAAUAUGUCCCUUUGUGUUGUAGUGCAAUACACUCUUUAUACGAGUUAAUAGUCAAAAUCGUCCUUGAAAAAUGCCUCGAUCUCUAUUGUCGUUUUCGAAAGAUAAAGUUAAUCAAAAUAGUCUUCGAAAGAUAACCGAGUUAUUCACGUUCGUCCUUCGAUCAUCUCCCUCGUUGAGUUGGCUAACGUUGGCUGAUGUGUGACGUUAACUGCCACCGUGGCAGACGCCUAGAUGUCCCCUGCUAUUGCUGACAAGGUAACUAUGGUGAAAUAGUUCAAAUCAGUCCCUUAGUAUUUGAACCCUAAUCUUCAAUUCGAUGAUAAAUAAGUCGCUCUCAACAAUCAGAGGGCCAUAUACUUGGGUAGACCUUGAAAUUACUAGUUUGUAGUGAGGAUGGAGGCAGGAAAUGGAGGUCGUAGCGGUGGGGUUUCAUUUCCGUCGAACAGCAGUAAUAGUUCCAGCGCUUCAAUGCGAACCAGGAGGAAAACUCUUGAGGAAUCAUGUUUCUGUGGAUCGAAGGCUGUGAUAAAAAAUCUGGGACAACAGAGAACCCAGAUAGAUUAUUCCAUGCAUGUCGAAGGUACCGGUCACUGCAAUUACUUUAAGUGGGUCGAUGAUGAUGACUAUCAAGGGGUGGCUGAAGGUGGAACAAAGAAAGAUUAUAGAACUAAUUUGCAGGUUGAAAGUGGCUAUGAUGAAUGGAGGUUGAAGGUGGCAUGGAGACUGGGCAGCUUGGAAGCUGAAGUUAAAGCUUUGAAACUACUAUUAAUUUUCAUAUUUGUGGUAGUUGUCAUUAAUGUGACCCUAUGUUGUUUGUCAUGUACUUCCAAGUAAACCAAAUUCUGUUGAUAUGUCAUGGUGUAAUGAAUGGAAUGGCUUGAAUGAGAAUACAUGUUUCCAUUU